CUGCGCGUGCUAUCAUGCAGUCGAGCGGACAGAUGGGAGCUUGCUCCCUGAUGUCAGCGGCGGACGGGUGAGUAACACGUGGGUAACCUGCCUGUAAGACUGGGAUAACUCCGGGAAACCGGGGCUAAUACCGGAUGCUUGAUUGAACCGCAUGGUUCAAUUAUAAAAGGUGGCUUUUAGCUACCACUUACAGAUGGACCCGCGGCGCAUUAGCUAGUUGGUGAGGUAACGGYUCACCAAGGCAACGAUGCGUAGCCGACCUGAAAGGGUGAUCGGCCACACUGGGACUGAAACACGGCCCAAACUCCUACGGGAGGCAGCAGUAGGGAAUCUUCCGCAAUGGACGAAAGUCUGACGGACCAACGCCGCGUGAGUGAUGAAGGUUUUCGGAUCGUAAAACUCUGUUGUUAGGGAAAAACAAGUACCGUUCGAAUAGGGCGGUACCUUGACGGUACCUAACCAAAAAGCCACGGCUAACUACGUGCCACCAGCCGCGGUAAUACUUAGGG
rnacentral:rRNA from 1 species